GGCCAGGCCGAGGCGGACACUUUCCUGUUCCCACGAUUGAAGUCGAGCGAGCAGCGACCUCCCCAAAGGGGCCCCGGCCGAGGGGACCCGCAAGGUGCCAGAGCGCGGCGCGCGAGCUGAGCGCGCGUGGCAGGCGAUGUGCGACCGCUCCCGACUCCGCUUCGAGCAACUCCAGCUCCACGCAGCCCCUGUGCACCUGUCGGCGGAGCUGUCCGCGGUGCUGAUCGCCAAGCUCCGCCACCAGGAGGCGCUGCGUCGCUCGCGUCUUCUCCGCCUGCAGGGCGCCAACUGGGGGGCGGGGGUCCUGGGCCGAGACCCCCACCGGGACCCCC